UACGAAGGAUGCGAGCGUUAUCCGGAUUUAUUGGGUUUAAAGGGUGCGUAGGCGGCCUUAUAAGUCAGUGGUGAAAUCCUGUCGCUUAACGAUAGACGUGCCAUUGAUACUGUAGGGCUUGAGUACAGAUGCCGUUGGCGGAAUGUGUCAUGUAGCGGUGAAAUGCAUAGAUAUGACACAGAACACCGAUUGCGAAGGCAGCUGACGAAACUGUAACUGACGCUGAGGCACGAAAGCGUGGGGAUCAAACAGG
rnacentral:rRNA from 1 species